CCUACGGGUGGCAGCAGUGAGGAAUAUUGGUCAAUGGGCGCGAGCCUGAACCAGCCAAGUAGCGUGAAGGAUGACUGCCCUACGGGUUGUAAACUUCUUUUAUAAAGGAAUAAAGUGAGGCACGUGUGCCUUUUUGUAUGUACUUUAUGAAUAAGGAUCGGCUAACUCCGUGCCAGCAGCCGCGGUAAUACGGAGGAUCCGAGCGUUAUCCGGAUUUAUUGGGUUUAAAGGGUGCGUAGGCGGAUCGUUAAGUCAGUGGUCAAAUUGAGGGGCUCAACCCCUUCCCGCCAUUGAAACUGGCGCUCUUGAGUGGAAGAGAAGUAUGCGGAAUGCGUGGUGUAGCGGUGAAAUGCAUAGAUAUCACGCAGAACCCCGAUUGCGAAGGCAGCUUACUAAACUGCCACUGACAUUGAUGCUCGAAAGUGUGGGUAUCAAACAGGAUUAGAUAUCCCAGUAGUC
rnacentral:rRNA from 1 species